rnacentral:lncRNA from 1 species
AACAAACUUGAGGGACAAAUUUGCAGAAGAUAUAAAAAAGAUAGAGAAUUUUGCAAAUAUCUUUGUUUCUCCUAAAAUGAUUGGACAGAAGGAGCCACUACGCCCUUUACUUAGUUUCUGCUUGCUGUAUCAGAACACACUUCUCAAGAAUUGGCAGCCCAAAUCUGAAAUAUAGCCAAUAUGCUAAUAUCUGAUAGGAACUGGUUUGCUAGAUGAUGAUUAAAUCCAUGAGAACUGAGGUGCAGGUCCAAGGGAGCCUGCAAAACAGCCUGAGCCCACGGCGACACCAGAUCUGCAGCCAGGCCUGCCGCGAACAGAAGUAACCAUUCUAUCCUUGUCAGACUUUAUGAGACAAUUUAGAUAUAAACAGCAUGAGUGGCAGCCAACUCCAGUCUUUCCAGUUCUCUCUCCUUCCCUCUGUAGCUGCGACUAAAACCUGCGCCAAUGACCCCGGGGAUCUGUAACACCCUUUGCCAGCAACAGAGGCCAGACAGUCAUUGAAUUGGAUAUAAACAAGACAGGAAUUAAGAAUGGAGAAUGGGCAGUCUGGACCUCCUAUGAAACCAUCUGGAGAAAACCCAGAUUCCCCAGAUGUAAUCUUAGGCUUUGGAGUUCAAAUCAGCAGCUGUGCCCUCAAGUAAAUGGAGGGCAUAGCUCCUCAAUGCCACGCUGUGACCUCAUCUCCCUGGAGACUGUCCAGCUCAAGGAGAGCAGCUUUAGAUAACAGCGCUCUAAACCGGAAUCCACUUCAGCCUCAGAGAAGACUUCAGUUCAGUUUCAUUAUUAUAGUACUAAAAGCAAGGGCAGAAUUAUCAUCACAUCAUUAAAUUGGAACUCAGAGACACUCACUGGUGUGGACCUACUGACGAAGCACACAGAAAACUCCAGAAGUUUUUUAUUAAUGAUCGUGUAUUUGAUAAUUGAAAGAAGCAUAUAUCAAAUUGGAUAAGUUUCAAGCACCCUCCCCCAAAUAAUAAGUUUAAAAAUUUCUCCUGUUUACUCCUAACUAAAUUUACAUCAUGGUUGGGUGUGCUACUGUUUAUUAAUUCACGCAGAUGGUAUCUAUUGAAUAUUGAACUUGUAUGAGGUGCUAGUCUAAAAUUUGUGAGUGGAAAGAAUAACUACAGAAUUGUAUGUUAUACUAAGAAAGACAGGCAUAAACAUAAAAACAAAGAAUAGGAAGCUAAAUUUAUUACACAUUGUGCUCUCUGUAUACAUACUGACAUGCAAGAAAGUAGAAUUAGAGUUCUGUGUGCAAAAGGAAGUGAUAAGUCCUUGGAACAAACAUUGAACUUUUGAGUCUGCUCUGGAUAUACCUUAGGGAAUCUUUGUUUUUGUAUAACACUGCCUAAAUUUGCUAGAGGUCUUUAAUUAUUUAGAAUAAUGGGUACAGACAGGAGACAUUAGGUAAACUAACAUUUAAACAAACAAAAAGUUAUUCAUAUUUCAAUGUCA